GACGAACGCUGGCGGCGUGCUUAACACAUGCAAGUGGUGCGACGAACCAGGGCUUGCCCUGGGGCAAAGCCGCGAACGGGUGAGUAACACGUGAGUAACCUGCCCCGAUGACCGGGACAACCCGAGGAAACUCGGGCUAAUACCGGAUGUGGCGCACAGGCAUCAGCCUGUUCGCUAAAGGAAGCUUCGGCCUCCGCAUUGGGAGGGGCUCGCGGCCCAUUAGCUUGUUGGUGGGGUAACGGCCUACCAAGGCAACGAUGGGUAGCUGGUCUGAGAGGACGAUCAGCCACACUGGGACUGAGACACGGCCCAGACUCCUACGGGAGGCAGCAGUGGGGAAUCUUGCGCAAUGCGCGAAAGCGUGACGCAGCAACGCCGCGUGGGGGAAGAAUGCCUUCGGGUG
rnacentral:rRNA from 1 species